UGGAUGAAGAAUUGAAACCCUAACUUUGAUUCUGUAGAAGAGGUAUGAUCUCCAGGGGCCAGGGGGUCUGGUUUUAUAGUCCCUUCAAGUGAAUCUGAGCCGUCGGAUCAAACCGACAUUAAUCGCACGGUUUUCCUUGAUCCUUUAGGUCGGUGGAGCAUAAUCCGCGAAACGUGUCCGAAUUGGUCUCUCGAAGUGGGCGGGCGCCCAAGGGACUAGGGCGGGCGCCCUGUGCCUGAGCCCUCUCGGCCUCCGCUUCGUUCCCGUAGCUUCUUGAGUCUUCUAGAUGGUAGAAAAUUGCACAGCACAUUAAUAUCUCUAUGUAAACCCGAUGUGUGGGCCUUUCUUCCGUAUUUCCUGAUAACCCCCUGCAGAAAUAGACAAACACCGAAACUCGUGGAAUUCUAUCAGAUAAAACCCUAAGUCUAGGUGUUAGUUGCAUUUAGAUCCUUUUCUAUGAUUAGUUGAUGGUUAAAUGUGAGCAUUAAGGACCGUCAACAAGCUCCCCCAAGCUUAGCCUUUGCUCGUCCCUGAGCAAAGAUGGACUCAAGAGUUUCUGCAGUGGUUUUAUGCCUUAAAGAUACACAUGCGUUCAAACAAGAUCUCAUCUCUGGGUUAGGGUAAACUGUUAAGAUUUAAACUUACUCAUUUUACCUUUCACUAUGGGGCUUGCAACCGUCACUUGUGUCUUGAGCAGUUAAAAGAUAGAACGGUCUAGUCAAGCGCCAUGUCUCUUGUUCUUCGAUUAACUAUAGCUCUGGAGUUUUUGCAGAUUUUCAAAUAAAACUCAGAGAUUCCUUGUAUGACUCUCUCUAGUCUCUCUUUUGUGGUAUUUCUGGAUCCUUACCAAGGCAGUAAAGGUGUAUGCCUUCUCUCAAAGUAUGUGGUAUUUUUGGUACGAGGCAUAGUGACAUUGCCUUCUCUCUCACCCUACUCUAAUAAGGUUUUGAUAUCUGGAGCUCAUAGGUGGGAGACAGCUAAUACAUACUUACAAGACAUUUAUUGCAUAGUCAAACCAUGGAUCCAGAAGAACAAGUCAAUAAGUCAAAUCAAGAUGUGCAUGUGUGGCGAAUGAAUGGUGUAUGGUGAUGAUGGUGAUAAUGGUGAAAGUCUAAUUCUACUUAUGCUCUUUUGAGGGGAUACAUACCUUUCUUGCUCUUUUGAAACUUUUUGAGGAGAAUGAGAUGCUCUAUAUUUUCUUUUUCUUUUCUCUCAGGUGGGUAUCUUGUACCCCUAAUUCUACUGUCGGACACUUGUCCAUUUUUACCUCUCGUCUCACUUUUUCUUUUCUUUUGAGGUUCCGGGCACUUGCCUCUUUUUAUUUCCUCGUAUCUUCUUCUUUUUUUUCUCUUUUUUUUUCUUUUUUUUUCUUUUUUUUAGAGCACUCAUCUCCUGAAAUAAUAUAGCAAGUGGUAGUAACCAAGAUAACUUGAGCAUUUAUUUCACAGGGGAAAACAGAAAUGUUUUUUGCUAUUCUCUUCUGGAUUAGGAGUAGAAUAUUUUUGGGUGGUUCUGGGGAUAGAAAUGGGUGGAUAUAUGUGGAUGGUACUUCUGGAGUAGAAGCAGCAUGUAUGAGUGAACGUGCAAGUGAAUCUUGAUUUAACCACAUGACAAGCUCCUAAGGGUCUACACAGCUUGACCACACUAAAUGCUCAUAAGCACUAAAAAGUAAAUGUGUGGCUCAAAGUCUAGCAAGCAUGUAUAUAUGGCUGUGGUAGGAAUUUAAUCUCUCAUCAUACAGGAACUCAUCAUGCAAUAUUUUGAAAUAUUUUCAAAGAUAAAAUUCUCCAAAAUUCUAGCAUCUCUAGGAACAGAUAAACAGCAGCUCAACCUUCCCAUAUCGUAUCCGUUAACGACUUAGACUUUAGAUCAAGUACACUCCCCACAAGUUCAGGUUUAGAGCAAAUCUUAAUUAAUACCAGUCAUGCCUAAACUUAAGAGAGAUUUCAAUUUUGAGAACUAGUCAUGGCAGAGCAACUAUUCAUCAUUUCCAUGUGAGAGCUUAUCAUGAGGGUUCAUAGCAAACUUUAUUUAUUUAUUUAUUUAUUUAUCAAACUAAUCAAAGAUAUAUAUAUAAGCAUAUUAGAGUAAAGUAUAAACGUGAGUAAAAUACUUAGCUGGAUAAAUGGGGUUGCUCUCCCCCAAGCUGGAUUUUGACAUAAUUCCUUUUGAUGUAGCAGGUGGCGGAGGUGUACUUGAAUGUCGGCAGCACCCUGACAGUGAUUAGGAUGUCCUCCGUCUGCUAGUCUUCUUUGAUCCUUGAAUUCUGUGGAGCUCAAAUAGACAACAAAGCUUUGUGGAACUGGUUAAGUGUUAGCAUAAAUAUCUAGCCUUUAUCAUGUUGAGCCUCCUCAAUAAAUGUUACUCUCUUUAGUAGGAUCAUAAUUUUAUUUUUAUAAUUUUAUUUUUAUAGGACAGGAAUAUAUUUAUUUCAUUUUUAUGCCACCAUAGUGAAUGUACUUAUGGGUUUUAUGCCAUGAGCAUACUCACAUGGGGCUUACUAUUUUUAACAUUUUUAUUUUCUUUUCAAGAUGAUAUAAACCUGAUUAACUAAGCAAACUAUUUUAAAUAGUUGAAAGGAAAAUGAUAACUACCAUGUUUACCUCUUAGCAAGGCGUUCGGUGUUUUUAAGUCCUCCGAACUGGACUCUCCGUUUUCUCAGUCGUCCUGGGAUUCACUGGUUGGCGUAGUCGGUUGUUCCGGCUGCGCCUGCUCUUCGUGUAUAGUUAUCUUCUCUCUACACUCCUGACUCGGUGCUACGGUCUCCUCAGGACAGUUCUGUUCAAGCUGUAUAUCUUGAGACCUUACAACUUCUCCAUCAUAGUCUACCCAUCCGUCCUUGAUGAUUUUGCCUUCUCUGGUUGCGGUUGCGUCGUCGCCUUCUUGUCCUGACCUGCUUAGAGUCUUCAACUAUAUAGUUAGGGUCAGUAAAAUAGCGGCAUACCUUCUCAGAGGGGAAGUUCAUGUGGACUUCUCCGGUUCCAAUGUAGAUGAUUAUUUUAACGGUGCUGAGGAACUGUCUCCCAAUGGUGAUGGGUGGAUUGUACUCGUCUUCUCCCAUGUCAAUAACCUUAAAAUCAUCUGGAGCUGAAUGUAUGUUGGUUAUAGGGGCAUGGCUCCAUGCAAGAGCUAAUAAGUGACUGCGGCCAUUAUGUUGACGUCAGAUCCGGUGUCGUAGAGUGUCUUCUCAAAAGAAUAUCCGUUGAUUGUGCACUUGAUGCUUGGAACACCAGGGUCGUCCUUCUUGAUCAAGAAAGGUGACUUGAGUUGACGAUCUUGACCUUCUUGAGCUGCAGUGACCAUCUUAGCUGACUCAGUCCACAUUUGCUUGUUUCUGUUCCUCCUGUUGGUCCUCUUCCUUGGUUCAUGUCGGAAAUGCUCUGAGAUUUGUGUAGUCUUGUUCUUGAAGGAAAACGUCUCCUUCCUCCCCUUGAUGUGGAAAUGGAUUUUAGCAGCACUAGCGUAGAUGACAGCUCCUGAGGUGUUCAGGAAUGGCCUUCCUAGGAUGAUCGGUGCCCUCUGAUCAGUAUCAGUCUCUAUCACCACGAAGUCUGUUGGAGCGUAUAAGGUACCAACUCGGACGUAGAGGUUCUUCAAUAUUCUCUUUGGGAAACUUAGCGUACGAUCUGCAAGCUUCAAACACAUGGCUGUUUCUAAUAAAGGAUGUGUAAAGAAUUUUUCAUAGAGUACCCUGGGCAUAAUGUUGACGCUGAGCCAAAGUCACAGAGUGCUUCUGGGAAGUCCACCAUGCCGAUUGAGAUCGGGAUGACAGGGCGUCCUGGAUUGUCUCUCUUGACCGACAGAAGGUCAGUAAUUACUACCACAAUGGGGUUACUCCAGUAGUUACGUCCUCAAGCAUCUCAGGGCAGUGAUUGCCUGAGUGUCCAGUCUCUCCAGUGUGUUUGUGCUCGUAGAUCUAGGUUCUUCACUUGGUGGAGUCUGGGAGUUGUAAAAGUCCUUCAUAUUUUGCUCAAAGUGUACCUGCUCAUAGAGACAAGGCAGAGAUCAAGUGCAUGGGCCCUGUUGGUGGAAAAUACCAACAGAACCAAAAGUGUAUUUGUUCUCUCUAACCUUAAGCAUAGUGAGAAAGACAAAGUUGAUGGAUAAUAAGACCAUGAGUGUAACAUUUAAAACAUUUGUCAGAUCAGAUCACUCAACCUUAUGGAAAGAUAAUCUAUCUAAGUAAAUAUUUUUUUCUUUACAUGACAAUCAUUUUCCAAAGAUUAAGUGUGCAACAUUUUAGUUCAUAUGAUUAGGAGUGUGGGAUCACAAAGAUGAAAGGACUAAACAUAUUGAAUCGAUUGGGUUGGUUAAUCUAGAGUUGUAAAUCAUAUAUGUUUGUCUCUUUUAUUCAUGUGAACGCCAGAACCAAGGAGAAGCUUUAUAAAAGUGAUAGUCAAGUACCUUAAGAUGUUACCUUACUUGAAGAGUGAUGGUACAGUAUCACCUUGUGGAAGCUUUCCUUUCUUAGUGGUUGUGCAUCGUGUUUGUGGCACCCUUCAUGGAUCAUCUCUUGUGAGCUAUGCCUUCCUUGUGUAAAUUUUUAACUUUCAUGUGUCUCUCUCUUUGUCUCCAAUGUGAGUUUAUCUCAGGACUUCCCAAGUCGAUAUUGAAAGUUUUCCUGCAGGGGUUAGUCCAACAAAAUAUCCAAUAUCUACUAUAGCAUACUAUCGGCUCAAAGAUCAACCUAGACACCAUGUCUAAAUUGAUUUAGGAGGGUAUUUUAACCUAAGCACCAUGCUUAAUUUAAAAUCCCUUGGAAGUAAGAUCAUCAUUCCUAAACUAAGCACCAUGCUUAAUUAAGAGAUAAAUGAAACUACUCCAAACCUAGACAUAUACUAAAGCAAAUAAAGGUAGCAUGAGAGCAUUUAUAGAGAUCUACUCAAGUGGAGAUGAAGUAGUGUGAUUAGUAUUUAACAAAUUGAGCAUGUCUCAAAGGUAGGGACAACCAACAUAACAACAUGGCAAAGGAUGUUUUUAUGUAAAGUACUCCCCCAAGCUUGAAUUUUUGCAAAAUUCAAGUUUGGAUGAAUUUAAUUCAAUGUUGUAUGAUGAUUGGUUGGACAUACCUUGUGCUUGUCAUUCAUCCGAUCUUCUUGCUCCAAUCCUGGAAAGGUUAGUGACAAGAAUACCCGAAGGAAUAUUUUUACAAUUAUCCUUAUAUGCUCAAGUUAAUGUUGCAAAUAAUUAAAAGCUCAUGUUACAAUCUGAUCAGUGCUUAUUUUAGGACACUAAGCUUGUCCUUGGGAAACCAUCAAUUUUAUGUCGGCGAAGUGGUUUCCCCUCCAACGCUGACCUAUAUCAAGAUCAACUCAACGACAUCUGCAAUAUUUGAUAUAGACAUAUGCAUCGACAACCGCCCUUUUAAUGUUUUUAUAAAUAGAAAGGAAGUGGGGGUUGGAGAUCUCGAAUGUGGUGAUGUUGGAGAGACCAAUGGAUUGUGAAGAUGUUGCAUAUAAGCAUGGAGUAAAUGAAGUGGCUAUGAAAUAAAUUCCAUGCUCAUUAAUGCUUAGAGUGAAAUCCAUGUGGUGUGGUGAAAAUGAUAAGGUGAGUGUGGUAAAAAAGGAAAAGAGAAAAGGAUACACGGACGACUUGGUUCGAAACUAGCACAGCUACCGUUCCCCGGCAACGGCGCCAGAAAGCUUGUUGGGUAUUUUAAACGUAAACAGAAAAAUCCGCAAGCGCACGGAUACCGAUGUAGCUUUCACCCGGGAGUAUUCCAUAGUAUCGAUUUUCCACAGAGAACGUGAGUGUACUAAUUAAGAAUCAAGAUCGCCCAAGGAUAACUAUAUAAUUGUUUUUGGUGGGAAGAGAGGAAGUUUCCUGAGAGUUCUCUAGUUGAUCUAAGAACCAAGAAUUACUUCAAGCUUAUCUAUUUCGGGACAUCAGAACACUAAACACAGAAAGAGAUGAGAAGGGGGCUAGGAAGCUCCGACUACGGUCCUACAAACACCGAUCCGAAUGAGGUGGAAUACGUCGACCGUUAGGGCUGUCACUACCCUAGGGCUACCACAACAAUCCGCAGGAUUGGGUGCAAUUCCAGGUAAUUGCAAGACUAAACACCACGUCUAAUCUAUUAAUUACUACUCUAAUGUUUCAAAGAUUAGAGCACUUGAUGCAAGCGGGAAUCCAAUAAAUAACUUGAAUGUAAAUAAAAGUAACUAAAGAACUCAGGAAUUAUGAAUUGAAGAACCUGGAGAACGAUGAAGAACGAACCAGAUGCUGCAAAAGUAUAAUGUUGAGGAAGAUCCGACAGAUCUGGCUCCUCCUCCGCUCUCCUCUUCUCUCUCCCUAUUUUCUAGAUUACAACUAGAACUAAUUAGAACUAGAACUAGAGGAACUAGAACUAGAACUAGAUGAACUAGAACUAGAUCUAGAUGAACUAGAGGUAGAACUAGAAGAACUAGAGGGAUCCUCUCUACUUGGAUGAAGAAUUGAAACCCUAACUUUGAUUCUGUAGAAGAGGUAUGAUCUCCAGGGGCCAGGGGGUCUGGUUUUAUAGUCCCUUUAAGUGAAUCUGGGCCGUCGGAUCAAACCGACAUUAAUCGCACGGUUUUCCUUGAUCCUUUAGGUCGGUGGAGCAUAAUCCGCGAAACAUGUCCGAAUUGGUCUCUGGAAGUGGGCGGGCGCCCUGUGCCUGAGCCCUCUCAGCCUCCGCUUCAUUCCCGUAGCUUCUGGAGUCUUCUAGAUGGUAGAAAAUUGCGCAGCACGUUAAUAUCUCUAUGUAAACCCGACAUGUGGGCCUUUCUUCCGUAUUUCCUGAUAACCCCCUGCAGAAAUAGACAAACACCGAAAAUCGUGGAAUUCUAUCAGAUAAAACCCUAAGUCUAGGUGUUAGUUGCAUUUAGAUCCUUUUCUAUGAUUAGUUGAUGGUUAAAUGUGAGCAUUAAGGACCGUCAACACGUGUUCCAUCUGGAUACGCUAGUCUGUAGGAUGUAGGACGUGUGACUUCGGCGACCAUAAAGGGUCCUUCCCAAGGCGUGGAUAACUUGUGCGUUCCUUCCUGGCUUGUUUUCCACUUGAGUACCAGAUCACGGACCACGAAAGAACGGUCUUUGACGUUCCUGUUGUGAUACCGCCUGAUGGCUUCGAGAUACUUUGCUGUUCGGAGACAUGAAAUUAGACGCUUUUCCUCCAUGCAGUUGAUUUCGAGCUCCCUGGCGUUGUCAGCCAUUGAUUGGUCGAAGUUUUCAACUCUUGGAGAUCUGAAGGUUACAUCAGAUGGGAGCACUGCCUCGGAGCCAUAAACCAUGAAGUAGGGUGAUACGCCUGUAUUGCGACUGACCUGUGUUCGGAGACCCCAGACCACGGCCGGUAACUCUUUCAUCCAUCGACCAGGCGCUCUGUCGUUCUCGGUGUACAACCUUUUCUUUAGGGCAUCAAUGAUCAUUCCGUUCGCGCGUUCAACUUGACAGUUUGCUCGUGGGUGAGCUACUGACACAUAUUUUAUGACUAUGCCUCUGUCAUCGCAGAAGUCCCAGAACGUAGUGCCAGUGAACUGAGUGCCCAGGUCGGUGACUAUACUGUUGGGGAUCCCGAAUCUGUGUAUGAUUUGAUUGAGGAAGUCCACGGCCUUCUCGGAGGUUGCUUUGACCAGUGGCAUGUAUUCGAUCCACUUUGAGAAUUUGUCGAUUAACACGAAGACGAACUUGAAGUUGCCGGGAGCCGGUUUAAAUGGCCUGAUCAUGUUGAGGCCCCAGCAGGCGAAAGGCCAGGAUGACGGAAUAGUUUGAAUCUCGUGAGCAGGUAUGUGGGUUCUUUUGGCAAAGAACUGGCAUCCUUCACAAUGUCGGACCAGUUUUUCUGCGUCGGUGACCGCGGUUGGCCAGUAAAAACCUGCUCGAAAAGCCUUCCCAACCAGUGUUCUAGAGGCUGCGUGGUUGCCGCAGGAUCCGACGUGUAUGUCGUCCAGGAGCUUGAUGCCAUCAUCUUGGGAUAUGCAUUUGACCAGCACUUCAGAACUUGCAUUUUUUCACAUAAGUUUGCCGUCCACCAGUAUGUAAUUCUUUGAUCGUCGAAUGAGGCGCUCGUUCUCCAUUUUAUCCUGAAAACCCGACCCGUCCGAUAUAUACCUGAUGAACGGGGUAUGCCAAUCACGGCUGCUGGUUGUCGGAGUAGCGUCGUCUAUGAGCAUUGCCCCAAUAGGUUGCUUUUCGACCAAGUCUGUGCCCACACUUGGCUCAUGGAUGUCCUGGACGAAAAUGCCUCGCGGGAUCUGGGCCCGAGAUGACCCUAACUUUGACAGCGCAUUCGCUGCCUGGUUCUUAUCCCGGACCACGUGGAUGUACUCUAUGCCAUAGAAGUUGGAUUCCCAUUUGCGGAUUUCUUUGCAGUAGAGAUCCAUCUUCUCGUGGGUUGUGUCCCAUUCCUUGUUGAGCUGGUUGAUAACUAAAGCGGAGUCGCCAUGGACGUAGAGGCGUUUGACUCCCAACUCAACGGCUAGUCGUAUGCCAUGCAGGCAUGCUUCAUACUCAACGACGUUGUUUGACGCCGGAAAGAGGAUCCUAAGAUGUAGCGCAGUUUGUCCUUGUUAGGCGACACGAAAAGUAUCCCAGCGCCGGCGCCGUUGAUGUUCAAAGACCCGUCGAAGAACAUUGACCAGUGGUCGGGGGCGUUGGAAACGGGAGGCUCGUUGAGAUCCAUCCACUCUGCGAUGAAGUCGACCAGGGCCUGAGACUUAACUGUGGUGUGGCUCUAGAAAUCCAGGGAGAAUGGGUAUAAUUCCAUUGCCCAUUUUACAAUUCUGCCGUUGGCGUCUUUAUUGCGUAGAAUAUCCCCAAGAGGAACACUGGUGGUUACCCAGACCCGAUGGCCGUCGAAGUAGUGCUUUAGCUUCCUCGAUGUUAUUAGAAUGGCGUAUAUGAGCUUUUGUAUUUGUGGGUAUCUGGCCUUGGACUCAUUUAAGACUUUGCUUAUGAAAUAAACGGGUCUCUGGACUUUAUAGACGUGACCUAGCUCGUCUCGCUCGACCACUAUUGCCGUGGAGACAACCCUGUCGGUUGCUGCAAAGUAAAGGAGUAGGUCUUCAUUGGGUUGAGGCGCUGUGAGAACAGGCGGUGAGGUGAGGAAAGUCUUGAGCUGGGUGAACGCAGCGUCAGCUUCCUCUGUCCAGGAGAAUUUUUCCGACGCCUUCAAGAGUUUGAAGAAAGGGAGGCCUUUUUCUCCUAGUCUUGAGAUGAAGCGGCUGAGAGCGGCCUUACAUCCGGUGAGCUUCUGAAUAUCCUUGACAUUCUUAGGUGGUCGCAUGUCGAGCACUGCUUUUACUUUUGAAUGAUUCGGUCGUAUGCCGUCGCGGCUGACGACGUUGCCGAGUAGUAGACCAGAAGGGACCCCAAAGAUGCACUUUUUGGGGUUAAGCUUCCACUUGUAUUUGUUUAGUGCCUUAAAGGUUCGGUCUAAGUUGUCGAUUAGGGUGCUUGCGUCCCUUGUUUUGACGACGACGUCAUCCACAUAAGCCUCGACGAGGUCAUCACGAAUCUCGUCGUGGAGGCAUUGCUGGAUGGCCCGUCGAUAGGUGGCUCCGGCGUUUUUGAGUCCAAAGGACAUGGUCGUGUAGCAGUAUGCGCCGAAAGGAGUAAUGAAAGACGUUUUGAUCUGAUCAUCUUCCUUUAGCGAGAUCUGGUGAUAACCAGAGUAGCAGUCUAGAAAAGAGAGGAGUUCGCAUCCGGCCGUUGAGUCGACUACCUCGUCGAUGCGAGGGAGACCAAAAGGAUCUUUAGGAUAGUGUUUAUUGAGAUCAGUGUAAUCCACGCACAUUCUCCAUUCAUUAUUCUUUUUGCAUACAAGAACCGGAUUGGCGAGCCAAUCGGGAUGAUACACUUCUUUUAUAAAUCCGGCUGCUAGAAGCCAUGUUAUUUCUGUCCUAAUAGCCUCCUUUUUGUCACGAGCGAACCGUCGUAGCUUUUGCUUGAUGGGUCUUGCGGUCUUCGAGACAUUUAAGGAGUGCUCGAUCAGGUUUCGUGGGACGCCGGGCAUGUCUGCGGGUUUCCAUGCGAAAACGCUCACGUUGUCCCUUAGAAACCUGACGAGCGCGUCUUCCUAUUUGGGGUCCAGAUUGGCCCCGAUGAGGGCCGUCUUCUCGGGGCUGCCGUCGACCAGCUAUACUUCCUUGUAUUCCUUGGACUUUGAAUUCUUCCUAGCGGUCUCCUACUCGGGUAGUCGGAGCUGGUCAGGAGGGAGCUGUGCAGCUUGGGCUGCUGUUUCUGCCAUGCGGAUUGAAAGACCAAUUGCUUCGGUGAUCUUGAAGCUUUCCUACUCGCAAGUGUAUGCGGUAUAGAUAUUGCCUCGAACAGUUAAGACGCCCUUUUCUGUAGGCAUUUUGAGGACCAGGUAUGAGUAAUGUGGAACUGCCAUGAACUUUGUCAGCGAUGGUCGACCCAGUAUGACAUGGUAAGUUCCAUCAAAGUUGGCAACCACAAAGUUGACGAACUCUGUUUGUAAGUGGUCGGAUGUUCCGAAAUGGACAGGCAGCGUUAUCUGUCCGAGGGGUACUGAACUUUGACCUGGCAGGACUCCCCAGAAUUGAGCGUCGUAGGUGUUGACACUAGCUAACACCACUUAGAUACUAGGUUGUCAUCCCCAGCAUGGUGCCAGAGUGUACAAAGGUAUUUAUAAAUGUAAAGGCUCUUUAGAAAAUAAUCUAUUCUAUCCGCAAGCGCACAGAUAAAACACCUCAUUGUAGCAUUUCACCAGGAUAAGUAUUCUAGGUAUCGUUAUUUAUAAUUUUGCUCAAGGGAUGAAAUUAAAAUAAGGGGGCAAAAUCUAUCAAGGCAUAGACUAGAGAUAAACUUGCAAGAACAUGAUUACUAAUGAGAAACUCGUCACACAGUCACUUACUUUAGCAGGGGGUAAACCAUAAAGAUAAUGAUAAUGAAUUAUAAGUUCAAGGGAUAAAUAACACAGCGAUUAGAAAAUAGACUACUCCUCAUAUAUGUAGAUGAUGUCGGAUUAGCUAGAGAAUGGAUUCUAAGUUAUCUACUAACAACUAAGUCAUAAUCUACUCUAGUUAUCUACAAGAUCAUAUAUAGCAUAAAAGACUCUUCAUUCAUGUAUAAGGAACAUUGAUAAAGUAAAUCAGAGCAUCGCAUGACUUACUCCACAAUACCGGUUCUGCCUGUCCUAUCAACGGAGGGUGGACAUAUAAGAAUCAACGAAGCUGUCACUAUCGCAAACUACCACACGACCCGGCUAAUAGGAUACAUUUGCAGAUAAAUAACAUCUAAGCACCACGCUCACAUGUGAUCUAUCACCUAACUCCCUCGCGUCAAGAGCUAAGCGCUUUGCAAACUUAUACAUAAACUCAUUAUCAAUUAGAACUAUAUCAAAUAUAGAACUAGAGCAAACUAAGAACAUAAUAAUUAGAGACAUAAUACAAUUAGAACAAAGAAUUAGAGAAAGAUAUGGAUAAUACCAAUCUUUAUUACCGAAGAUCCGAAUCUAGAGCGUAGUGCUCUACUUCUCUAAUUGCUAUCUAAUCAAACCUCUAAACUUGAAGGAUUAGGGAGUAGCUAAUUCUAAUUCUCUGUGGGAGAGAAGCUCUAAACCCCAACUUUGAUGGCUACCUCUGAAUAAUGAUUUCUUCUCUUCUCCUCUCUCCAGGGGGGUUUGGCCUUGGUUUUAUAGUCCCCUUAAGUGAACGUGAGCCAUUGGAUCAAACCGACAUAGAUUGUAUGGUUUAGAUUGAUCCUUUAGGUCGGUGGAGCGUAGCCCCGAAGCAGAGUCCCGAUUGGGUUCCAACCCUAGGCGGGCGCCCAAGGUGGGUGGGCGGCCGCCCUGCCCCCGAGCCCGAUCCUCUUCUCGUUCGUUCCCGUGGCUUCUGGACUCUUCUAGAUUGAGGAAAAUUGCACAGCACGUAAUUAUCUUGUUGUAAACAUGACAUGUGGGCCUUCUCUCCAUAUUCUCUGAUAACCCCCAGCAGAAAUAGAUAAACACCAAAGCUCGUGGAAUUCUGUCAGAUAAAACCCUAAUUCUAGAUGUUUGUUUCAUAUUGAUCCUUUUUCAUGUUUAUUUGAUUAUUAAUUUUAGUACUUAAGGACCGUCAACAAACUCCCCCAAGCUUACCCUUUGCUCGUCCCUGAGCAACUAGCUAAACUCAGACAUAUCAGGAGUUGCUUUGAUGUUUUCUUUCCUGACAGGCACACAUACUUUUUCAUAAAAAUUCUUCCAGAUUAGAGUGAAGUGUUAUAGAAUUUAGUACCUGCACUUAAGUCUUAAGUAAUUGAAAGACAAAAUAAUUAAGUUAAGCACUAUUCCUCUUGUCUAUUCUUCACCAUUGUUCCAGAGUUUUUCAUAAGUUUUCAAAAUAAAACUCAGAGUUCCCAGCAAUGAUUCUCUCAAGUCUCUCUAUAUGUGGUAUUUGUGGAUCCUUACCAAAAUGUCACUUACCUAUAGCUAAUGGAAUAUUUAAGUGGAGCUCAUAGGAGUGAAAAACAGCUCAUACAUAUGUUGUUUAAUCGAGCUAUGGAUCCAAAGGAACUCAGCAUAUAAUUAAAUCAAGAUGUGCAUGUGUGAUGGAGUAAAUGAUAGUGAUGAUAAAAAUGUAUAAGUAAUAAUAAAACUUGGUUCUCAUUGCUCCUCAUAUUGCUAUCUCUCCUCCUCUUUGAUCUUUGCUUUGGGAGAUCAUGGGCUAUCUCUUUUUCUUUUUCUCUUUCUUUUUUUUCAGGUGGGUAGUAGAUACCCCUAAUUCUACUGUCGGACACUUGUCCAUUUUUUUCGCUCAAGUGGGCAUCUUUGUACCCCUAAUUCUACUUCGGACACUUGUCCAUUUUUACCUCUUGUCUUACUCUUUUUCUUUCUUUUUCGAGGUUCCGGGCACUUGCCCCUUUUUAUUUCCUAGCAUAUUUUUGCAUAACCCAUGCCUCUUCUGCAUUGAAUCUUUUUAGAGAGAGAGAAUAACAAUACUUGGGACAGUGAGUGAUAAUAUUUUUAGCAAUUUUAAUGAAUGGUGAUGGAUGGUGUAGUAGAUGUGUGCAAGUGAAUAUCUUAAUUUAACCACAUGAAAAGCUCCCAAGGAUCUACACAGCUCGAUCAAACUCAAUGUAAAUAUAGUAAAAGAUGUUAUAGCAAGUAUGGCUGUGGUAGGUAGUUUGGUGUGCUAGGAACUCAUCAUGUGAUUUGUAAGUUUUCAAAAUAAAUCUCCAGAACUUAGUGUAGUAGGAACAAGAUAAACAGCAGCUCAACUUUAUAUCAUGCCUUUCUCUUACCUAGACUUUAGUUUUAUGCUUCCCAAAGAUAGUAAAUUCAGUUUUAAUAAUUCCUGGAAGAACUCUAAUGUAAAAGCUAGGUACUUGAAAGUAAGCAACCAGAGCAACUGUUCAUUAUUUCCAUCAUGUAUCUUUUUGGUCUUUUAUUUUUCUAGAGAUUAAACUUAGUAGGGAAAUAAAGCACACUCAUCUACACACUCUUUUUAUUUUGUUUUCAUGUUUAUAAAAUGCAGUAAAUUAAAGUAAGAAAAUAUUUAUUGGGUUUUCUAAGUUUUUCCUUUUAAGAUAAAAUACUAAAAUAGAAAAGAAUAAAUAAGAAGAGCAAAUAAAAACUUACUUGAUAAAUUGGGGAGGAACUCCCCCAAGCUGGAUGUUGACGUCGGUCUUACUCGAUGUUCCAGAACCGCAUCAUGGUUGUGAUGUUGUCAUUCAUUGUUGUUGUAUCUUGUCUUAGUUCUUGCACUGCAGCGGCAUGGUCCUGGUUCCAUUUUUGUUGCUCUUCCAGGAGUCUUCCAUGUUCUGCUUGCGUGUUUUGGAUGUCGAGGAGGGUGUUGUCGGUACGAGUGAAGAAAGCACCGGCCUCUUGAUAGUAGUCAUUUGUGAAAGCGUAGGAGGCAUCAGAGUAUCGUCCUGCAUCAAAUUGGGGCGGAGGUCUGGAUCCUGAAGCUCCAUAUGGAUCAGUGGAGUACCUGCCCGUAUGAAAAGGCCUGAAGCUCCUCUGUUGGCUCUUGUGGUUGCGCAUGACGAACCCAUGGGUCUCGAAGGACUCGAGGGUUGUAAUCACAAUAAUGCAGGUGCGCUGCUUCUUCUGGUCCGGGGUCAGCUCCAUACCAGGUGCGUUCUCGAUGGGUGGUCAUCCUUUCAGAUGCCACUCGCUGUGGAGCUCUCUGGUUCACUGGUGUUGCUGCAAUCUCAAUCAAAAAAUUUUGGACAACGUAUAGGCCAAGGUUCGGGUUAGGUAACCGAAUCUUGCCUCUAUCAUCAUAUAGCAUAUAUAUUAUAUUCCCCUCUUUCUUUAACAUCCGAGCUUGUCUAAAUGUGUCAUAGCCAUGGUAAAUUCUUAAUUCCUCUAUGAAAUCCAACGAUGAGUUUUCUAGUAAGUGAAGAUUAAAGGCUAGACGAGUGAUAAGUGAAGUACAUCCUACUGGUCCCUGAAGACUAGGUAUACUAAGCCAAUGAGAAACUAAUAGUGUAACAGGUGAAGUGGGUACUUUACUAAUAGCAGCAUACAAAAGUUGUAAAUAUCCUACUCUUACUUUCCUAAUAUCAUCACGAUAGAAAAGAUUGUACCCAAGCCAUUUGUGAAACAUCCUAAGAGUGGGGUGUUCCAUGUCACUGGUUCGGGCUUGACUAUAAAAAUUAUCUCUAGAUAUUUCUCUCCAAAACUGGUGUCUCUCAAAAUUGGGUAAAUCGGAGUCGAUGUUCAGGAUGCAUCUUGAAGAGAAACCAAGAUGGUCGCUCAGCUCUCUCCAAGACAACAUAAUUUCCUGUUUAAACAUCCGAAAAACAAUUCCCCCCUCAUAGUAUCGUAAAGUGCAAAGAAAAUCGAGGUGAGAAGACGAGAACCCAGUUCAGUUAUAUUCCAAAAAUUUGUCCAACCUAUCAUCUGAAAAAUUAAGUCAAAUUCAGUGUCCAUACCUAUUUCUUGUAGUAAGAUUGGAUCGAUAGUAGGGGUGUGAAUGAAAUCUUUGUUUUUCAACUGCUGAUAGACUUCCUUCUCUCUUCGGGUCUUCAGUCCAAGGUCUCCUAUCUUGAGAAGGACCUUAACUUGCUGACCUGAUGAAGAUGACGGAGCUUGUGUGGGUGUCGGGUCGACGCUCAUCUCUGAUGGUUGUGAGGAGUGUCGAGCUGAACUCCUUGUACCAAUGUUCUUGAGAGCCUUCCCUGCAUUCUUCACCUUCUUAAACAUCCUGCAAACAAAAGUUGGCGAAAACACAACUAGUGGAAAAUGUGAGAGAAAACGUUAGUGGUCAGCUGUCCGGAAUGUCAGUAGUCCAGGGGUUAAUCGUUCAAGACAAGUUUCUAUUUUGGUAGAGCCUCCCCCUAAACAACUUUUACUUCCGCUUAGAUAGCGGGAUCACUACUUGCUAAGUGAUAUUCACUCUCUAUCAACUUCCUUCCCACUCUUCUCUUUCUCUCUAGUCUCUUCUCUCUUCACUACAAGAGCUCUUUCUGGAAACUGAUACUUGUGUGGUUUUCUGGAGUGCUUGUGUGGAGAGGAUGGAGGUAGAAGGUGGCUAUUUAUAGGAGCAAGAGGGAGCAGGGCGGGCGCCCUUGGUAGGUGGGCAGGCGCCCACUCCUGGUGUCCAUCCUGGGUGUGCCUUCUCCACUUGCUUACUUGCUUUGAUCUCACGCAGAAUAAUAUUGUGUUGGUGGUGGUUGGACGGUGGAAAGAUGUCAGGUAAGUGGAAACAUAUUGGUGGAUGAAAUAAUGUGAUGGGAUGUAUGUGAGGUGAAGUGUAUGACAUGUGGGACCCAAAGAGUGUGGGUCAUGCUUCUAGAAGAUUAAUAUAAUUAAAUAUAAUGCAGGACAAUCUAUGAAAAUUGAAAAUUAAUUAAAAUGAUUAUGGAAAAUAUUUUUUGUGCCUCCAUAAUAAUUAAUAAAUAUGGGUUGUUACACACCACGAAUAUUAUUCAUAUGGGGCUUUUUGAUUAUUAUACUAAUGCUAUGAAUAUAUAUGACUAAUGCAAGAAUUAAUUAUUCAAGAAUUUAAAUAUGAGAAAAUUAAUAAUGCAGAUAAAUACCGUUUUACCUCCCGGUGAGGGUUUGGGAUUUUUAGGUCCCCCAAGCUGGACCUCCAAAUCUUUUAAUCUUCUGAGUUACCUUCCUCCAGAGAUGAUGUCUCCAGUGGUUCUUCAUGAACUUCCUUCACUGUAGAAUCUCUCUCUGGUCUGGGUUUGAAUGUGAAGUGUUCUUCUUGACCGUUUAUGUUGAACUUGAUUUCUCCUUUCCCGACAUCAAUGUGGGCAUUGCAGUGCUCAGAAAUGGUCUUCCAAGGAUGAUGGACACUUUUGAGUCAGGACUCAUGUCCAAUACUACGAAGUCUACUGGCACAAGGAAAUCUCUGAUCUUGAUUGGGAUGUUCUCGGUGAUGCCCGACGGGUGUCGAACCGAUGAUCCGCUAGUUGUAAGCACAUUGAUGUUGGUUCUAGGGUCGCAUGCUCAAGCUUUUUGUAGACUGAUACUGCCAUCACACUGACACUUGCUCCGAGAUCACAAAGUGCAUUGUUGAAGUGUUGGUUUCCGAUCGAGCAAUCAAUAGUGGGGCAUCCUGGAUCUUCCUUCUUCCUUGGUGGCUUAUUGAGGAUGGUCGCACUACAUUCUUCUGUCAGCUUGAUAACCUCAGUGGUGGGCAGUGGUCUCUUCUUGUUAAGAAUAUCUCUGAUGUACUUUGCAUAUGUAGGUACCUGUAUGGCAUCGAGUAGAGGUAUGUUGACAUAUAAUUUCUGAAUGACCUCUACAAACUUACCAAACUGCUCAUCCGACUGCAGUCCUCUGUUUCUUCUAGGAAAUGGCAAAUAGUUGGUGUCGUAAAAAUCUUUCCUCAUUUCUCUAGUUCUUGGUGGUUGGAGCAGAUCUUCUGCUUCAACUGGGCUUUCUUCUUCUAUUACUGCUGGUUGCACUGGUGCUGAUGUUCUUUGUUUCUCUUUUGGGUAUGGGGGAUCUCUGGUAGCUUUGCCUCCUCUAGUAGUUAUAUUCUUUACCUGCUCAAUGUUAGUAGCAACAGGCAGUGCAGCAGCUAUCUUUAUUAAUUUAAGCUCUACCCUUUUAUUAAGAGUGUUUUGCUCAUCAAAGGCAGUUAGUAGAAAAUCCAUUUUAUUGUGUAUAUCUUUUAGAGAUGAUUCAUUUGUAUCUAGCCUUUGUUUAACUUCAUCAUUAAUUUUGGUUUGUUGAGCAAUUAUCUCUUUUAAUGAAAGUUGCUUGAAAGUAUUACCUGAAUUCAUACCUUUGCUAUUGGGUUGACUCGAGGUAGGUUGAUAUUUGUAUGCUGUCUCAAUAAACCUUUGAUCUUCUUUGAACUUGGCCCUCUGGUCAAUCCAAUGGAGCAAAUUUUCCAUCUUAGUUGAUAAUGCAUUUACUUCUUCUGGUAUUUCUUUAGUUUGAUGACAUUGUUGAGCUUUAUCUUGGAACCAGCUUUGAUUUUCUGCUAUCUUAUCCAAAAGUAUCCCUGCUUUUCCAGUUGUAAGCUCCAAGAAUGAUCCUUUAGCAGAUGCAUCUAGGCACUCACGAGCCUUCUGGGUUAAUCCAUGGUAGAAGGUCUGCAUAAGUAACCAUGUGGCCAUUCCAUGGUGAGGACAAUCUGAUAUGUAUCCUUGAAAACACUCCCAUGCUUCUGAAAUGGCUUCUGUUUUCUGCUGUUGGAAACUGACAAUAUUUCCUCUUAAGGCAGUUGUUUUGCCUAUAGGGAAAAACUUUGAUAGAAAGGCAUCUGACAAGUUCGUCCAGUUGUUGAUGUUAUCUUGAUGAAUGUAAAACCACUUCCUCGCUUUCCCUUCUAGUGAGAAUGGAAAAAGGCGAAGCAGUAUGAGAGUGUAAAACCACUUCCUCGCUUUCCCAAUCUCUAAGAAAUUCUGCAAGUGUGCACUAGCAUCUUCAUGUGCCUUUCCACUGAAUUGUGUAGCUUGUACCAAAUUGAUGAGGCUUGACUUGAGCUCAAACUCGGAUAUUCCUUCUUCUACUGCAAAUCUUGGACCAGUUGGAAUGUUCUCACGGCUUGGAGCAGAGAAUUCUUGUAGGGUCUUCUGUGCCAUAGCUUCAGCAAUUGGUAGCUAGCUUCUUCUUCUCUUGAUUGCUUUGGUUCUGAUGAUGAAGAGUUGAAUGUACCCAAAGUCAAUCCUGAUAUACCCUGUGUAAAAAUAUAAACAUAGAAAAACACACAGGGUGAACCUGCCAAAGCAGAGGUGCCUUGUUAUGAUUUCUCACUUAGUAGCUAUUUUAUGCAAUUAUUUCUCUAUAGUCUAGUCUAAUAUUUUAUGUGAAUAACCUUGACUGAUUUUCUGACUUUCCUUACCGUUCCUAAGUAUUACCCUUUUGUUCCCCUCUAUGACUUAUUCAUGAGACUCGUAUAAUUAUCCCCGGCAACGGCGCCAGAAAUGCUUGUUGACACUAGCUAACACCACUUAGAUACUAGGUUGUCAUCCCCAGCAUGGUGCCAGAGUGUACAAAGGUAUUUAUAAAUGUAAAGGCUCUUUAGAAAAUAAUCUAUUCUAUCCGCAAGCGCACAGAUAAAACACCUCAUUGUAGCAUUUCACCAGGAUAAGUAUUCCAGGUAUCGUUAUUUAUAAUUUUGCUCAAGGGAUGAAAUUAAAAUAAGGGGGCAAAAUCUAUCAAGGCAUAGACUAGAGAUAAACUUGCAAGAACAUGAUUACUAAUGAGAAACUCGUCACACAGUCACUUACUUUAGCAGGGGGUAAACCAUAAAGAUAAUGAUAAUGAAUUAUAAGUUCAAGGGAUAAAUAACACAGCAAUUAGAAAGUAGACUACUCCUCAUAUAUGUAGAUGAUGUCGGAUUAGCUAGAGAAUGGAUUCUAAGUUAUCUACUAACUACUAAGUCAUAAUCUACUCUAGUUAUCUACAAGAUCAUAUAUAGCAUAAAAGACUCUUCAUUCAUGUAUAAGGAACAUUGAUAAAGUAAAUCAGAGCAUCACAUGACUUACUCCACAAUACCAGUUCUGCUUGUCCUAUCAACGGAGGGUGGACUAUAUAAGAAUCAACGAAGCUGUCACUAUCGCGAACUACCACACGACCCGGCCAAUAGGAUACAUUUGCAGAUAAAUAACAUCUAAGCACCACGCUCACAUGUGAUCUAUCACCUAACUCCCUCGCGUCAAGAGCUAAGCGCUUUGCAAACUUAUACAUAAACUCAUUAUCAAUUAGAACUAUAUCAAAUAUAGAACUAGAGCAAACUAAGAACAUAAUAAUUAGAGACAUAAUGCAAUUAGAACAAAGAAUUAGAGAAAGAUAUGGAUAAUACCAAUCUUUAUUACCGAAGAUCCAAAUCCAGAGCGUAGUGCUCUACUUCUCUAAUUGCUAUCUAAUCAAACCUCUAAACUUGAAGGAUUAGGGAGUAGCUAAUUCUAAUUCUCUGUGGGAGAGAAGCUCUAAACCCCAACUUUGAUGGCUACCUCUGAAUAAUGAUUUCUUCUCUUCUCCUCUCUCCAGGGGGGGUUUGGCCUUGGUUUUAUAGUCCCCUCAAGUGAACGUGAGCCAUUGGAUCAAACCGACAUAGAUUGUAUGGUUUAGAUUGAUCCUUUAGGUCGGCGGAGCGUAGCCCCGAAGCAGAGUCCCGAUUGGGUUCCAACCCUGGGCGGGCGCCCAAGGGGGUGGGCGGCCGCCCUGCCCCCGAGCCCGAUCCUCUUCUCGUUCGUUCCCGUGGCUUCUGGACUCUUCUAGAUUGAGGAAAAUUGCGCGGCACGUAAUUAUCUCGUUAUAAACAUGACAUGUGGGCCUUCUCUCCACAUUCUCUGAUAACCCCCUGCAGAAAUAGAUAAACACCAAAACUCGUGGAAUUCUGUCAGAUAAAACCCUAAUUCUAGAUGUUUGUUUCAUAUUGAUCCUUUUUCAUGUUUAUUUGAUUAUUAAUUUUAGUACUUAAGGACCGUCAACAGUAGGGCUUUAGCUGUGCCGGGGUUAUCUUGAGAGCAGGCAAGCUGUUGCGAAAGAGGAUGUCAAUGGAGCUUCCCCUGUCAACGAGCACGCGCUCGAAUCUGAUGCUAUUGAUGCAAGGAUCCAGUAUUAGAGGGAAACGUCCUGGUUCCGGGAUGGUGGCCCAUUGGUCCUUCCUGCUGAAGGAGAUUUCCCUGUGCGACCAGGGAGGGAAUUUCGGAUCGGCGAUUAGGCCAUCCGUGCUAUCUAUGUUGAGGCAGGCUCUUUUUAAGAGCUUUUUUUCUCGCUUAGACUCGAUGGAGACCUUGCCCCCAAAGAUGGAGUGGACCACAUCGGUGGGACUGACAUACUGGUGUCGUGGGUCCCUAUCCUGGUCCUCGUCCUCGUCUUCAUGAUCGCGCCCGUCCUGUUUCCCAUUUUUCUUGGCGGGGUCGCCUUGAGCAGCCCGCCGUGUGUAGAUGCUUUUUAGGACGCGACAUUCCUCCAUCGUGUGGUUGGAUUUUGGAUGCAGUUGGCAUGGUCCCUUCAACGUCUUGUUGUAGUCUUCCUGGUAGUCUCGCCGCCCAUUGGGACGCUUGACCAUAUUCACCUCGUGGUCGUGGUCGCGAGGGCACUUGCCUCUGAAGUCAUCACGAUUGUUAUGCCGCCUGUCCUAGCCUUCUCUGUGGUCCCGGUUGUCGGGGCGACGAUGGUUCCUAUGGUCGAAACGACCUCGACUGUCAUCUCGUCGAGGAGGCUGGUCGGGGUCUCUCGCAUCGUCCCGGAUGAGUUUUUCUACGUCGUCGGCGUCGGCGUAAUUUUUAGCCGUGACAAGGAGCUCGGCCAUCGUUGUUGGUCUUUUGUGCAGCAGCUUGUUCCUCAGUGCUUCAUGGAAGCACAGCCCCUUGAUGAAAGCAGAUAUGGCCUCAUCGUGGGAAAGUUUCGGGAUCUUAAGGCGCAUAUCCGAGAAUCGUCGGAUGUAAUCGCGCAGAGGCUCGUUUUUUCUGUCCCGUAUCCUUUCGAGGUCGUACUUCUUCCCAGGCUGUUCGUAGGUAGCGAUGAAAUUGUCGAUGAAUGCUUGCCGUAGUUCUUCCUAGGAGUCGAAAGAGUCCUCGGGCAGGCCUAGGAGCCACUGGUGACCAGCCUGGUCGAGGAUGAGUGGGAAGUAGUUGGCCAUGACGUGCUCAUCCCCCGCUGCUGAACGGACGGCGAUCUCAUAGAGAGUGAUCCAGUUCUCUGGGUUUUCCUUGCCGUUGUAUUUUUUGAGUUUCUCGAGCUUGAAAUUGCGAGGCCACACGACCUGGCGGAGGUGUGAGGAGAACUGUCUCAGGCCUGGGGGACCGUGCGUUGCAUCGUACUCAAUGCGACGCAGGUUUUCGUGAACUGCUCUCUCCGUGGCGCGCCUGUUGAUGCGGUCCUGGGCGUCUUUGGGAGGGAUAUUGUAUCGAAGAUCCCUGUGCUGGUUUACUUCCUGACCACGCCGGCAAUUCUGCUCGCGGUGGCCGCCAGCGUCCAGACCGCCAUCGUCACGCCGUGAAUCUUUUUGACGAUUGUUGGGGGAACGGCUGCGGUGGUGGUCGCUGGGCUGUGGUGAGGUCCGGCUGCGAUGGGUCUGGUCGGAGGAGACCUCUGCAUAGGAGAUAGCUUGGACUCUUUUGAGCAGUGUGGCUGUCUGUCCCAUCGCGGCGAUCAGAUGCGCGCGCACGCUGGGCCGGACACCCUGGCACUCGGGAGUGUCAGGGAGUCGAUCUAAGUUGGCCAUGGCGAUAGCCACGUUAGCACUUGGCGUUUUGUAAACUUGUUGAUCCCCGACCAAGUCAAAAGCGUUGGUGAGGUUAUGUGGCGGGAGUUGUCGUUCCUCGUCUGCGCGUCGUCGGGCGCGGUCGGUAUUGCGCUGCUCGCAGAGCUGCCUUUGCUCAUCUGUCUCUCCAUCAACGACUGGCUCAUCGGCGCUGACAUUGAAGAUGAGAUCUCCUCGCCGCGGUGGAAAGAUCGGGAAGCGAGAGAAACCCAGAGGAUACGGUGGUAAAUCCAGGUCGUAGUCUUCGUCCUUGGAGUUUAUGACUUCGGUGGGAACGGAUCCAGUGCUGGAGUUUGUGCUGGAAGCCUGGCCGUCCCGCAGUUCUCGGAUCGUCACCAUGUUGACGUAGUGACGAGCUGGCCGACUGCUCUGUUUUGGCAACCAACCAGCCUCGUUGAAAAGGGAUUGGAUGUGCCGUGAAUAGAGAACAACCGAGUUGUUCAGCUCGUAGGGAUAACCUUGAUCUGGAUCAGCCUCGAGUUUGACGGACCGUCCUGAGAGGGUGGAGGUUAUCGUCAGAGACAUUCCCAGCUGUUCGUGUGUGACGACACGAGUUGGCCGCUGGGAGUUGAAGGUCCGAGCCAUCGAUCUUCUUUCCCUUGUAGCGCAGAAGCGGUGGUCGGGUGCUCGGUGCAAGCGUCUGCGUGGUCGGAAUCGAUGCCGCUGUCAUCCCAGAUUGGAUCUGGGCUUCUUCCGAAACCGUGGCCGUGAGGCUACCGCCACGACUCGUCCACGUAAUCUGGCCGACGGUGAACGUGAGGCCUUCAGGCACGGCCGCGGAAGCUGGAACGAUGACCAUCUUGUUCGCCGGAAAAGCUGUACGCACACCCCCUACCUGGCGCGCCACUGUCGAUGAAAGCUAGUCGGCAGUCUACCUUGGGGUAUAACCACGGUAGUAGUUUAUCGGUAGACGGUGCGCAAGCUACGAUCUUGAUGGUGACGCAAGACACGGACAAGCUUUUUAUCCAGGUUCGGCCGCCGAGCUGGCGUAAUACCUACGUCCUGCGUCUUGUUGUAUUGAUUUGUGUUGAGAGAAUAAUGUGUCCCAAGGGGGGUCCCUUGCCCCUCCUUAUAUAGUCCGGAGGGCAGGGUUACAUAUCUGGAAACUAAUCCUAGUCGGUUACAAUUGUCAUAGAUAGUUCGAUAUCAAUUCCUAUUCUACACGACUAGAAUCCUGCUUGAUCUCCACGUCUUGUUUCCUUGCGCGAAACUCCGAGCGAUCGGAUCAAGCCUCGAACUUGUCUCGUAAUGGGCCAAGCCUCCUGGCCCAAGUCUAGCCGUAAGGGUAUAGGGGUUUAUACCCCCACAGUAUGCAAAGCAAACUCUAAUAACUAUGGAAAACACUAAUUUAUCUACCACAACCGAUCGGCAAACCAUCACCAUCCGAUUGACAAUUCUUGUGCCUCCCUUCGUGACCAUCGGCAAAUCACCUCUCAUAGUCAUCGGCAACCAUCAAUAUCAGUCAUCGGCAUAGUUCCAUCACCUCUCUUGGACUUGACCACACUCGGUCGUUUCAUCAUCGGUAUCAACCUUCAUCGGCAACUCUUCUCUUAAGUCACCAUUUGUUCGCUUGCCGAUCUACGCCUCAUUAACUCCCUGAUACGUGCCCAAAGAUACGUGUCCAAAAACGUGUCAACAGUUGCGUGAAAAUUCAUUGAAAAUCUGAGUCUGGUAGGGCACCAGAUGCGCCCUCUGUGCGUCUGGUGUACUAUCUCUGCUGUAUAGUAUGCACCGGACCCGCACACAGUGCUCUGAGCACAUCCGGUGUGGUGCAUCCGGUGGUUCCUCGGUGCUUGGCCGCAGCACCGGACGCUAGGCGAGCGUCCGGUGGCCUGCAUCCGGUGGUCAAGCAAUCUUUCGGUGCUCUCUGUGUACGUGACCGGUGGGCAGCAAACGCAUCCGGUGCCAACUUAAGCGUGUCCGGUGCCCCCAUGACUGCGCCUUAUAACCUGAGCCCCCACGCAUCUGUUCUCCCAAUCGGUUUCUCCUCAGCCACGGUCUCGAUGAGACUCUUGCCGUGUCCUAACUCUACCCGAGCCACCCUCUACCACAGAGAUCACCAUCGCCGGCAAUCUCCUCUUUUCUACUCGAUGUGGAUCUCUUCCCUGGGUUCUUCUCCUUUGUUUGAACCUCUAAGAUCAUCCACUCGCGACCAGAUUAGGGUUUGGGGUGAGUUGCCUAUCCCCUGCACUCAAGGUGCAUGAUUCAAUGCUCGAACUGAUCUGAAUGUCAUUUUUGACGAUGAUCUUCAUUGUUUCACCUUUGCAGGACCUUGUUGUGCAUAUCUCUAUGUCCCGUGAACUUUAGAUUUCAUCUAUUCAUCGGGAACACGUCUCAUCUCAGGUUGUAAGCCAUUUUCAUCCUAUCUCUUAUCUAUUGCUUGCUUCCUUUAGGGUUUCUCUCCUUUAGAUAUUAUGGUUGCUUUUGUAUACCCUAUCUAUUCUAUCUCUUGCAGCAUGUGAGUCUCAAUUUGGCCAGUUGUCAGUAUCAGUUGAAGUCGGGGCCAAGCCCAAGAGUACGGAUUGAGGCCAAUUGAUGAGGGUCAGGCCCAAUCUUCUAAGAGGUAAUUGGUAAAUUCAAUUGUGGAGAACUCAAUAUUGGCGAUCCAGCUUCAAAUCAGCACGAUUUGAACACUGCAACCGUUACACCACUGCUUCGUUGGUUAUCAACCAAGCACAACUUGAUUGACCUCGCCAAGAAGGUUGUUCCAGCAAGCAAAUCGAAGAACACAAGCAAGAAAGUAUAAAUACGCAAUCUGAAAUUGCAGAUAUGAAUGUCGCGAAUAUUCAAAUGAGGGUUCAAGAACUCGAUUCCAAAGGACUAAUCGACACAGUGGAGGAGAUCAAGAACGGGGGCCCUAGAUCACUGUAAAAGGAUUUGUCACCACAGUUACAAUGAACGAUUCAGUUUCUCGAUGGAAAACUAAACUCUAAACAAAACCCAAGUCUAAACAGUGGCGGCUGCGUGAAAUAUAAAGGAGAAGCGACCUAGGGUUGAAGGCGCCCACAACAUGGGCUUAAGGCCCGAAUUCGAUACAUGACCAAGUUGGCCCAAAAUAGGUGAUGCAGCACCUUGUUGUGGACAUAACGAUUAAUCCACGAAAGAUCUGGAGCUGGGACUAGAUCAAAAAUGACAGUCUCAUUGUCCCCUUUCCAACGAGUCCAAGAUCACCCUGUUUCGAUGUCGUAUGAAGAAGUUAUGAUCAAAACACUGACGACGUGUUUGCUGAAUCCGAGGGUGACGUGGUAGCUGAGUUGGAGAUAAAUUGCAACUUUGGAAAGAUGAUGGUGUCAACGUAUCUAGCGUGGCGAUGUCCUCAUCAUCCUCCCCUUCUUGAAUUGGAGUCGUCCUCGACUCCAUCUUGGUGAUGCCCUAAUCAUCCCCUCCCUCUAUAAUUGGAGUCAUCCUCGACUCUUCCCCAUCAACAAACUCCUGCAAAAGGUUAGUGACAGCAGGCAAUGCACAAGACAUAAUAGGUUGAUAAAGCAUAGUAUAACAUGGUGCAUCUGGAUUAUCACAUAACGUAGCAGUAGUAGAAGUUGUAGCAAUUAAAGCACCUCUAUGUAACUUAUUUUCGUUAUUUUUAUCAAUGUCUGUGGAAGGUUUAUUGUUAAUCUCUUUAGCAUGUUUAGCAAUAUCCAUUGGUGACAAAGGCAACAAAGUAAUGUUCUUGUUCUUAUGUAUGGAAGUGUAUGUAUUAGUUCUACCAUGGUGUAAAGCAUCAAUACAAAUUCCCAUGGACAUCCUAACAAAAUUGAACAAGCUUGCAUAGGCACAACAUCAAAAUCAGCAGUAUCAUGAUAACAACCUAUGAAGAAACUAAUGUGGGCAAAUUUAGUUACCUUAGUCUUACCACUAUUAUUGAACCAUUGAAGUUUAUAUGGAUACGAAUGUUGUCGUGUGGUUAAGCCAAGCUUCUCAACCAAAUCUAAACUCACCAAGUUGUUGCAACUCCCGCUAUCAAUGAUGGUGAGAACACGACAACCCUCCACAAUAAGAUAUAUGUGGAACAAAUUGUGGCACUGAAUCUACUUAUCUUCUUCAUGUACCAUAGGUAAACUCAACACACGCUGCACAAGAAGGCGAGGAUAGCCUACGGAGGUAGUAACAGAGUCAAUGACGAUGGUCUCUGGGUCUUGAUCGCCCUCGGUGGGAUCUGCAGCAAUGUUAGCAGCAAGGGCUAAAUCAUCUUCAACAUCACUAGCACUUACAUAUCUAUCCUCGGUAGCAACGAAAGCACGAUUAGUGGGGCAAUCCUUCAUGACAUGUCCCAUGCCUUUGCAUCGAUGGCAAAUGAUUUUAGCGCUGGCGAGGAGGAACUAGUGGAAGCACCCGGAUUGGCACCAUUCUUCAGCUGUGGGGCUGCAAAUUAGACAAUUUACUUACCCCAGAAGAAAAUGCAGGUGUGAGCGUCUCUAGCUCGAAACGCUGCUGAAAUUUCCUCCCAUUAUUAGGCCUGAAAGUCUGGUGUUGCUUGUGUCCCUGUACUUCACGUUCGGCCUUUAUAGCAACAUGAUACAAUUGGGAAAAAUUACACCAUUCUUUGUAAUCAAGAAUGUUCUGGAUAUCAUGAUUUAAACCACCAAAGAAUCUAGCACUAGCAUCAGCAUCAUCUUCAUGUACACCACAACGUGCUAAACCAAUAAGAUAUUCUUGAUAGUAUGCUUCUACGCUUUUAUCUCCUUGUUUUAAAGUUUGUAGUUUAAGACGUAAAUUACAUUGAUAAUAAGGAGGAACAAAACAAGAUUUCAUACGUUGUUUUAAAGCAUUCCAAGUUUGAGGCACAGCAGCAGCAUUAUUAGUAUUGCAAAGAUCACUCGGCCAAAACAAAGCAAAAUUAGUAAACUCACUAGUAGCAAGUCUAACUCUAUGCUCAGUGUUGACACUUGCUAACACCACUUGAAUACUAGGUUGUCAUCCCCAGCGUACGGAUACCGUUGUAGAUUUUACCCGAUUAGAGGUUUUAUCAUAUCCAUAGGGAAACGGGAGAACUGAUCUACACUCUAACUUAACCUAGAUAGAUAGGUAGGUGUAAAUAGGAAAAAUGGUAGAAUUGAAUAAGAACAAUAUUAAAGGUAAGAUAACAAUGGGUGAUAAUAUAGGAAUAGAGAGUAGAGCAAUCUAGUAUAUGGGCGAUGGUAGGAGAAUAGAGAGGAUAACUAUGGUUUCUCUACUUUAAAGGGGUAUGUCUAUGUCUGGGACGAACCACGUGAUAAGAAUACACCACAAAGGAUGCUUAUCCAUAGGCCGAUAAACCCUACCAGUCCUGCUAACGGGAGGUGGACUACCGGGGACCAAUGUAACGGUCACCUACGUGGCCUACCACACGAUCCGGCUAGACAAGGGAUAUCCACAAGUAAUCUAGGUCUAAGCACCACGCUUACACCUACACUACAACUCUAACCUAUAGGGUCCUAUAGAUUAAAAGUACUCAAAAGAGUUGUGAACCAGAACAUACAUGGAUAGUAAUUGCAUAAUGAAAUAGAAGUAGAUUACCAAAGUCAUCCCAUGAGCAAGCUUUAUUAGAGCUUGAUCAUUGCGAAGUACAACCAGAGGAAGAACCGACAGGCCGGCCUCUCCUCCAAUCCUCCCUCGCUCUCCAUCUUGCUACUAUCUAGAUCUACUCUAGUUUAGAGAAGAGAGGAGAGCUCUCAUCUCCAAACCCUAGCUUUUGCUCUGUCUAUGAAUAAUGAAUAGGGAUCAAGGGGUGUCUCCUCCAGGGGCCAGGUGUCCUGCUUAUAUAGCUCUUCCAAAUGAAUGUGGGCCGUCGGAUCAAACCGACCUUAGUUGCACGGUUUUCCUUGAUCCUUUAGGUCGGUGGAGCAUAAUCCGCGAGGCGGAGCCUGAUUGGCUCCUGUAGCAAGGCAGGCGCCCAAGGGGGGAGGGCGGGCGCCCUGCCCCGGGGCCCGCUCGGCCUCCCGUUCGUUCUCGUGGCUUCUGGAGUCUUCUAGAUGAUAGAAAAUUGCCGCACAUGUUAAUAUCUCUAUGUAAACACGACGUGUGGGCCUUUCCUCCAUAUUUCCUGAUACCCCCAGCAGAAAUAGACAAACACCAAAACUCGUGGAAUUCUGUCAGAUAAAACCCUAAGUGUGGGUGUUGGUUGCAUUUAGAUCCUUUUCUUUAUUUAUUUGAUGGUUAAAUUUGAUACUUAAGGACCAUCAACAAACUCCCCCAAGCUUACCUCUUGCUCGUCCCUGAGCAAGGAUGGACUUAAGAGUUUCUGUAGUGGUUUCAUGCCUUAAAGGUACACUUGUGUUCAAACAAGAUCUCAUCUCUGGGUUAGGGUAAACUGUUAAGAUUUAAAACAUACUCAUUUUACCUUUCACCAUGGGGCUUGCAACCGUCACUUAUGUCUUGAGUAGAUAAAAGAUAGAAUGGUCAAGUCAAGCACUAUGUCUCUUGUUCUUUGAUCAACUAUAGCUCUGGAGUUUUUGCAAAUUUUCAAAAUAAAACUCAGAGAUUCCUGUAUGACUCUCUCUAGUCUCUGUUUUGUGGUAUUUCUGGAUCCUUACCAAGGCAGUGAUGGUAUAUGCCUUCUCUCAAAGCAUGUGGCAUUUUUGGUAUGAGGCAUUAGUGACAUUGCCUUCUCUCUCACCCUACUCUAAUAAGGUUUUGAUAUCUGGAGCUCAUAGGUGGGAGACAGCUAAUACAUACUUACAAGACAUUUCUUGCAUAGUCAAUAAGUCAAAUCAAGAUGUGCAUGUGUGGCGAAUGAAUAGUGUAUGGUGAUGAUGGUGAAAACAAUGGUGAAAGUCUAAUUCUACUUUUGCUCUUUUGAGAGGAUACAUACCUUUCUUGCACUUUGAAGCUUUUGAGCAGAAUGAGAUACUCUAUAUUUUCUUUUUCUUUUCUCUCAGGUGGGUAUCUUGUACCCCUAAUUCUACUGUG
rnacentral:lncRNA from 1 species